rnacentral:rRNA from 1 species
UACAGAGGUCCCAAGCGUUGUUCGGAUUUACUGGGCGUAAAGGGCGCGUAGGCGGCGUGACAAGUCACUUGUGAAAUCUCCGGGCUUAACUCGGAACGGUCAAGUGAUACUGUCGUGCUAGAGUACAGAAGGGGCAACUGGAAUUCUCGGUGUAGCGGUGAAAUGCGUAGAUAUCGAGAGGAACACCUGCGGCGAAGGCGGGUUGCUGGGCUGACACUGACGCUGAGGCGCGAAAGCCAGGGGAGCGAACGGGG